rnacentral:miRNA from 1 species
AUGAAGAAAAAAAUCUCUCUUUCUCUCUCUCUCUCUCUCUCUCUCUCUCUCUCUCUCUCUCUUAUUGUUAUCUUUGAUGUUGAAGCUGCACUUGGUGAGAGUAUAGCAUGAAGAGGUAUACAGAGGGUGUGGGAGGGAGAGAGAGAGAGAGAGAGAAAUUUAUGAUUGAU